CUUGAACAAAAAUAAGAGGUCCAGCCUGCCCAGUGACUAAUGUUCAACGGCCGCGGUAUCCUAACCGUGCGAAGGUAGCGUAAUCACUUGUUCUUUAAAUGAGGACUAGUAUGAACGGCACCACGAGGGUUAUACUGUCUCCUCUCUCUAAUCAGUGAAACUAAUCUCCCCGUGAAGAAGCGGGGAUAAAACUAUAAGACGAGAAGACCCUAUGGAGCUUUAAACUUAUCCUCAAACGCCAAAAUCACAUAUCAAGUUUCAAACUUCACCACAUGAACUCUCGCGCCAUGAGGACAAUUUUAGGUUGGGGUGACCAUGGAGUAUAAAAUAACCUCCAUGCUGAAUAGGCCUCCAAGCCUUGAGCCAAGGGCUACGACCCAUCGCACUAAAAUAUUAACACCCAUUGAUCCAAUGUACUUUGAUCAACGAAC
rnacentral:rRNA from 1 species